ACUGGAGCCAUAGAUUGCAUAACCAUCUCAAUAAAAGCACCUUAAAACAAUGAAUUCAGAAACGUGAAAAGGAAAAGUUUUCAUCCAGUUAAUGUCCAACUAUUCUGCAAUCCACAUAAGUCUCUGUUAAACAUUGUUUCCCGGUGGCCUGGAGGAACGCACGUCUGGUUUAUUCUACAGAUCUGCUCUGUGGGUGUGCGCCUCCAAGCAGGAGCUGUGAGGAUGGCUGGCUGAUUGCCGAGAGAUACACACACACACACACA